AGUAGGCGGAGGAAAAGAAAAUAAUCGAAUGAUUCCCUGAGUAGUGGCGAGCGAAAGGGGAAAAGCCCAAACUUAUUUCGUUAAGGCGAGAUGAGGGUUGUAGGACCACGAUAUUUGUAUUACAAAUGAAUCUGAACUGUCUGGGAAGGCGGGCCAUAGAGGGUGAAAGCCCCGUAAGGGUAAGUUUGUAGUAUGAUAGUGGUAUCCUGAGUAGGGCGGGGUCGGAGACGCCCCGUUUGAAACUGCCAGCACCAUCUGGUAAGGCUAAAUACUACUGAGAGACCGAUAGUGAACCAGUACCGUGAGGGAAAGGUGAA
rnacentral:rRNA from 1 species